rnacentral:rRNA from 1 species
GACGAACGCUGGCGGCGUGCUUAACACAUGCAAGUCGAGCGGAAAGGCCCUUCGGGGUACUCGAGCGGCGAACGGGUGAGUAACACGUGAGUAACCUGCCCCAGACUUUGGGAUAACCCUCGGAAACGGGGGCUAAUACCGGAUACGACACAGCUUCGCAUGGGGUCUGUGUGGAAAGUUUUUCGGUUUGGGAUGGGCUCGCGGCCUAUCAGCUUGUUGGUGGGGUGAUGGCCUACCAAGGCGACGACGGGUAGCCGGCCUGAGAGGGCGACCGGCCACACUGGGACUGAGGGACGGCCCAGACUCCUACGGGAGGCAGCAGUGGGGAAUAUUGCACAAUGGGCGGAAGCCUGAUGCAGCGACGCCGCGUGAGGGAUGACGGCCUUCGGGUUGUAAACCUCUUUCAGCAGGGACGAAGCGUAAGUGACGGUACCUGCAGAAGAAGCGCCGGCCAACUACGUG